CGACGUCGAUUACUGGUCACACACACAGACCGAUUGCGACUCGAGAGGGUGAAAGGGGGGAGAAGAAAAUAGCAGAGAGGUUUACGGCCCCUGUGCAACCCUAGCGUCCCCGGUCUGCAUUCGGUCUCGUUGUUCAGAAUUUUUGUUGACGAAGACAAAAGAAUGCUCCGGUCUCGGAAACCCUGUUCCCGAGGGGAACGGUGGAGGAGGAAUUGCUGGUGGAGGCUUGACAAUAGGGGAAUCCCUUCCCGCUACGAAAGGCCCCGCCGAUGGAGCGUACUCUUGUUCAUCUGUCAAACAAGGUCUUGAUUGCGAUUGCGAGUUUCUGCAUAUACUCUAUUGUUGUGCGAAUGGUGGUUGAGAUCAUUGUGAUGUAUCCUAUUCAGCACUGCACUUAUUGCCCAGCAAUGGGCAAGUUACUUGUGCUUCUCACUGGAGGAAUUCCUGUUGCGAUGCCAACCGUAUUGGCUAUUACAAUGACAAUUAGUUCCCAUCGUCUUUCUCAAGAGAUAGAGUUCUACACACCUUAUGAGAUCUGUUGAAAAAUGGUGGGGCCAACAAGAUCUACAAUUAUUUAGCAAUAAUUGUAGAAUCUACUUUCUUAAGUUACAGUAUUAAUUAGUACAAUUUUGUUGUUAAUAUCUUCGGAAGUGAUGACUAAAGAAUGACAACCAUAGAAGAAAUGGAAGGCAUGAAUGUGAUCUGAGUGAUAAAACUGGAACUUUGACACUGAAGAAAACUAGCGUUGAGAAAAUUAUUAUUGAAGCAAACACUGUCUGCAGUUAAUAUAUCAAAAUGAACUCAACUAUUGAAUCCUGUUUGGAUAUUUGAAAUACCAAUGUAGGUCUUUGCUAAAGGAGUUGAUCCAGACACUGUUGUUUUAAUGAUUGCGUGGGGUUUUCAGUUGGAAAAUCAAGAUGCCAUUGAUGCAGCAAUAGUGGGAUGCUUGCUUUGACACCAAUGAGGUAGCUCAUUGUGCUUCUUCUGUUGUCAAUGCUGCUGCUAAUGAUCUGGCCUUUUCCAAACUCCAAACAACAGCAGCAAAUCCAGUAGCCGAACAUCCCUACCCAAUUUAGUAUGCUCUUAUAGUCUUUAUGGUAAUUCACUGGAGUCUAGAAGAGUUUUCCCUCAGCUUUUGCGAAUAAUUCUCUGCUAGUAGCAUCUACAAAGUAGUAACUUUUUAGCAUUAUUAUGUUAUUAAGGUGGUUAUGGUUUUCUGGGAUUGACAAAGAUUAAAUUAGAACAACUGGACAAGUCAAUCCAACCUUUAAUGACAGCACUGCUUUGAAGCUCGAUGCCCUUAUCAUUGUUGGGGGUAUCCUUUUUGCUGUCCUUGGUAUCGGAAUUGGCUUAGGUUCUUGAAGCUCGGUGCUCUUGUAAUUUUUAGGGGCAUUCAUUUUCCUGUCCUUGUUAUCAUAAUAGGCUGCAUUGUUGUAGGUUCCAGUUUCUUGGAAUUUUCAUAUUUUGUGUUUGAAUUGAAAGAAAGUGCCUUGCACGGUAAGUUCCUCUUUGUUAACGAUAAUAUGAAUUGGUAAAGUAAACAAUUUAAUUUUCCUUUUAUGUAGUA